rnacentral:rRNA from 1 species
UACGUAGGUGGCGAGCGUUGUCCGGAAUUACUGGGCGUAAAGAGCUCGUAGGUGGUUUGUCGCGUUGUUCGUGAAAACUCACAGCUCAACUGUGGGCGUGCGGGCGAUACGGGCAGACUUGAGUACUGCAGGGGAGACUGGAAUUCCUGGUGUAGCGGUGGAAUGCGCAGAUAUCAGGAGGAACACCGGUGGCGAAGGCGGGUCUCUGGGCAGUAACUGACGCUGAGGAGCGAAAGCGUGGGGAGCGAACAGG